rnacentral:rRNA from 1 species
UACGUAGGGGGCAAGCGUUGUCCGGAAUCAUUGGGCGUAAAGAGCGUGUAGGCGGCUCGAUAAGUCUGCUGUGAAAGUCCAGGGCUCAACCCUGGAAGGCCGGUGGAAACUGUCGGGCUAGAGUCCGGAAGAGGCGAGUGGAAUUCCUGGUGUAGCGGUGAAAUGCGCAGAUAUCGGGAAGAACACCCGUGGCGAAGGCGGGUCUCUGGACAGUUCCUGACGCUGAGGCACGAAGGUCAGGGGAGCGAAACGGG